CACAUUUUAAAAAUCAAGUACUGUUUUUAAGGAGGUCAAUUUUGGGCCCUUAUUUAAAAAAAACAACAACAAAAAACCUGCAAAACUCUUGUGCUGAUGAUUAAAAAGUAUGGUCGAGCUCCUAAAGUGAUGAAUGAUGUCAGAUGACUUAAUUUUUGGCUAUUCAACUGGUGGCACCUUGAGAAGCUUUAAUAUUCAGAAGCUGGGGUAUGAACACCUUGAAGGUUGAGGUGUCUGUAGUCAAAAUUCACUUUUAAAAAUCUUGGCUGACAAUUUCAGCUAUCUGGAAAGGUUCCCUUUGAAUUUCAUGGCCAAUUCAUAAAAGUCUCUGAUGCAGGAUUUUGAGGAAAAGACUUUUAAUAGCCAAUUUUUCUUUUUGCUGUAGGAGGAUCUGAUUAGUCUUGCAAUAAGGACACACGCACGCUGUCAUGGAAGAAAGAAGGUUUAUCAAGGCAGCACAGCUCACCAACUGCAUGCUGAUGUCAGUAGAAAGACUCCCAUUGACUUUAAUGAGCUUUGGGUCAUGCCCUAUGCACCAAAUCCUAAAAGGAAAUGAGUAUCAGCAACUGCCACAGACUCCAAGGAAACAAGAAAAACUGAGCCCUAAACUGGGAACUGUAGCGGUUGAAUACCUGUUUGGAUUGGAGGCCUAAUGUGGAGAUCAUAAUGGUAAAAUUGAAAUAUUGCACCACUUGUGUGCUCUCUUGCUACUGUGGAAGGAUGGAAUUGGUCAUAUGGGCAUUGGUUAUAAGGAGAGAAUAAGGGCAAGAUAAUCAACUGGUG
rnacentral:lncRNA from 1 species